GUGCAGGGAGGUAGGUGGGAGGAAGAAAAAAAAAUGCUGAACAACUAGAAAAAAAAUGUUUUUUAAUGUUAAAUGAGACAACACAGUAUAGUAAGUCCUAGAACCUUAUUAGCAAUUUGACUCUGGGUGAGUCAACCUCUCUAGCCUCAGUUUCCUCACCUGAAAAAUAAGGAGACUGGUCAUCCAAUGUCCAAACUCUAAAUCUAUGAGCCUAUGACCUAGAAUCACCUAGAAUGAAGGGAUCAAGUCAAGGAACAAAGCAGGGGGUGUGUAUGUAUGUGACAGAACACACACCUGGGUCAGGGGUGUACUGGAGUUGGCUCAGACUAACUUGUAAGAGCCCAGCUUUUUAAAUGUUCAAUGUGAGGAUUUAUACCUUAGAAAUCAGCAAUCUACAUGCAGCUCAGGCUUGGAUCGAUUGUUGUCUUGACUGUCUGGACUUAAGAAAGUGAUAGAGACAAUAUUAAUAAUGAAGCUUAAACUUCAAAGUGUGUCAUGCAUACAUUUCUUUUUCAGGGAGCCGAUUGUUAAACACUUAGCAUCCCAAACUCUGCUUUGGACUCACAAGAAUUAUGGAUACUCACAAGCCCAGCUGCUCCUCUGAUUCAUCUCUCUCAGCCAUUCCCUUCCCACCUGAAACCACAAUUCUCUGCCUAGAACAUCAGCAUCCCUCUCGUCUGUUGGAACAUUCCAAAGGAAGGAGUCAAGACCAAGGUGGAGAUGGCAUUGUUCACGGGAUGAUCAAGAAGGGGUUUCUGUUCUGCCAGGGAUGGAGUCAAUGUCCCCUGAGGUCCCUUUUGGAGCCCUGGAAUUCUGGGAUUCCAUCUGCAGAAGGAACAGAUCAAUCGUCAAAGUGACAAAUCUACCUGGGUGACUCACACAAUGAACAAACCCUCCUCCAGUAAUCUGGUCAAGUCAAGGUUCUAAGGCAGCAUCCAGGUACCACUGUGGAUAGCCCAGCUUACAGCCAGAAAGACCUGAUGUAACAUCCUGCCUCAAAUACUUAGGAGCUGUGAGACCCCAGGACAAGUCACUUAAUUUCUCUAAAGUUAGUUUUCUCUCCUCUAUGAAAUAAGGAAAAUAAUAGCAUGUUCCCCCAUGUCCUGCUCAGUUAUCAUCUUUCUGUGUGACCUUGGACGAGUCACUUGACUUCCUAGGGUUCUCAUUUCUUCAUCUAUUAAAAGGGGUUGGACAUGAUAACCUUGAGGGCCUCUCAGCUCAGACAGUCUACAAUUAGUAACUUGCUUUAUUUGGUCUUUGGUGCUUCAAGGAUCCAUGAUUCCCUCUGAAGAGGGGCUUCUUCCCUUCUAACGGGUGUCAUGUUCUGGUGAAACUGGGCUAGCCGUCAUUCCUGAGCUCAGCAUGCCCCCCCCGCCUCCAUGUUUGCAGAUGCAGUCCACCAUGUCUGAAAGACACUCUCUUGUCUUCAUUGCCUUUCAGAAUCCUUCUCUUCCUUCUUUAAUCACUAAUUUAAGUCAUUCCGGGGGGGAGGGGGGAUUCCAUGAUCAUUCUCUUUGUUUUGCACAUUCCCUUCUGGGCAUGGGAUGGGGCAGCUGGAUGGCUCAGUACUGGGCUUGGAGUCAAGAAGACCUGAGUUCAUAUCCAGCCCCAGACACUUCCUAGUUGUGUGACCCUGGGCAAGUAACUUAAUCUCUGUUUGCCUUAAUCUCGUGGAGAAGAAAAUGGCAAACCACUCCAGUAUCUUUGCCUAGAAAACUCCAUGGACAGUAGUCCCAGGGGUCACAAAAAUCAGACGCCGACUGAACCCCAACACUGGGCAGCACUAGGUAAGCCACAGCUCUCUGUUCCUUUCUAUGGGGCAGUACGAGCUCAUCAUCAAGGGCCGUGUAGGAAUCUGUGCACCUUCCCCAUGACAACUUCCCAGUCAGAGUUGUGAGCCCCCAUCUGCUUGGUUAACUGACAUCUACACUGUGAACCUGCUAUAUUUCAGUAAGCCCUACUCAUAAUGAAGCUGGGUCUCUGUAGAAGCCGACCUACGUGUUUGAAUGCCAAAUACAAGUUGGUUUUUUACUCUUACCAUGAAUUCUAUAAGCAAAUAAAUGGAAUUUAAAUAGUGCUUAGUGAUACA
ensembl:lncRNA